rnacentral:rRNA from 1 species
UACGGAGGAUGCGAGCGUUAUCCGGAUUUAUUGGGUUUAAAGGGUGCGCAGGCGGCACGGCAAGCCGGCGGUCAAAUCGCGGGGCUCAACCCCGCCCAGCCGUCGGAACUGCCGGGCUAGAGUGGGCGAGAAGUGCGCGGAAUGCGUGGUGUAGCGGUGAAAUGCAUAGAUAUCACGCAAAACUCCGAUUGCGAAGGCAGCGCACCGGCGCCCUACUGACGCUCAGGCACGAAAGCGUGGGUAUCGAACAGG